rnacentral:rRNA from 1 species
AACGAACGCUGGCGGCAUGCCUAACACAUGCAAGUCGAACGAGACCUUCGGGUCUAGUGGCGCACGGGUGCGUAACGCGUGGGAACCUGCCCUUAGGUUCGGAAUAACUCCCCGAAAGGGGUGCUAAUACCGGAUAAUGUCUUCGGACCAAAGAUUUAUCGCCUUUGGAUGGGCCCGCGUUGGAUUAGCUAGUUGGUAGGGUAAAAGCCUACCAAGGCGACGAUCCAUAGCUGGUCUGAGAGGAUGAUCAGCCACACUGGGACUGAGACACGGCCCAGACUCCUACGGGAGGCAGGAGUGGGGAAUAUUGGACAAGGGGCGAAAGCCUGAACCAGCCAUGCCGCGUGAGUGAUGAAGGCCUGAGGGUUGUAAAGCUCUUUUACCCGGGAUGAUAAUGACAGUACCGGGAGAAUAAGCUCCGGCUAACUCCGUG